GCGGCGGUAGUUCAGUGGUAGAAUGCUUCCUUGCCAAGGAAGAGGUCGAGGGUUCAAAUCCCUUCCGCCGCU
rfam:Microgenomates bacterium GW2011_GWC1_41_20 TT51_C0020, whole genome shotgun sequence.